AGUGAACGCUGGCGGUAGGCCUAACACAUGCAAGUCGAACGGCAGCACAGUAGGAGCUUGCUCUUACGGGUGGCGAGUGGCGGACGGGUGAGGAAUACAUCGGAAUCUACUUUUUCGUGGGGGAUAACGUAGGGAAACUUACGCUAAUACCGCAUACGACCUACGGGUGAAAUCAGGGGAUCUUCGGACCUUGCGCGAUUGAAUGAGCCGAUGUCGGAUUAGCUAGUUGGCUGGGUAAAGGCCCACCAAGGCGACGAUCCGUAGCUGGUCUGAGAGGAUGAUCAGCCACACUGGAACUGAGACACGGUCCAGACUCCUACGGGAGGCAGCAGUGGGGAAUAUUGGACAAUGGGCGAAAGCCUGAUCCAGCCAUACCGCGUGGGUGAAGAAGGCCUUCGGGUUGUAAAGCCCUUUUGUUGGGAAAGAAAAGCAGCAGGUUAAUACCCCGCUGUUCUGACGGUACCCAAAGAAUAAGCAACGGCUAACUUCGUG
rnacentral:rRNA from 1 species